ACAACGCUGGCGGCGUGCUUAACACAUGCAAGUCGAACGGAGAAUUUAUUUCGGUAAAUUCUUAGUGGCGAACGGGUGAGUAACGCGUGGGCAACCUGCCCUUCAGAUGGGGACAACAUCCCGAAAGGGGUGCUAAUACCGAAUACGAUCACGCUGCCGCAUGGCGGUGUGAUGAAAGAUGGCCUCUAUAUAUAAGCUAUCGCUGAAGGAUGGGCCUGCGUCUGAUUAGCUAGUUGGUGGGGUAACGGCCUACCAAGGCGAUGAUCAGUAGCCGGUCUGAGAGGAUGAACGGCCACAUUGGGACUGAGACACGGCCCAAACUCCUACGGGAGGCAGCAGUGGGGAAUAUUCCGCAAUGGACGAAAGUCUGACGGAGCAACGCCGCGUGAGUGAUGAAGGUUUUCGGACUGUAAAACUCUGUUGUUUAGGACGAAAGUGCCUGUUGCAAAUAGUUGCAGGUAUUGACGGUACUGAACGAGGAAGCCACGGCUAACUACGUG
rnacentral:rRNA from 1 species